rnacentral:rRNA from 1 species
AAACAACGACAAUUGUUUGUGUUGAGUAUAGAUUGUUUUUCUUGAAAAACUAAAUUACGUGGCGGCUGAACAACUAAAUAGAGGGGUAUGUUUUAUAAAUCGAAUUUACGCGAAUAUCUUAUCUAAUCUUGAAUUAAAUUUCAUUUUACACACCGCCGUCGGAAGUAUAAAUUGUUAGAUUUAUUCUUUUUCUUAUUUUAGGAAUUAAGUCAGGUCAACGUGUAGAUAAUGGUUAGGUCAAAUUGUAUCUCUUUAUUAUUAUUAUGUUCUUUUAUAAAUUUGAAAUAGUAUUAGAUAAUUGAAUUUAUAAGUUAAACCUUUUAUUAUUAAGGUUUGAAUAGUGAUAUGUUUGGUGC